rnacentral:lncRNA from 1 species
UUUUUUGAUUUUUUGAUUUUUAGAUUUUUAGAUUUUAGAUUUUUUGAUUUUUAGAUUUUUAGAUUUUUAGAUUUUUUGAUUUUUUGAUUUUUUGAUUUUUUGAUUUUUUGAUUUUUUGAUUUUUUGUUUUUUUGAUUUUUUGAUUUUUUGAUUUUUUGAUUUUUUGAUUUUUAGAUUUUUAGAUUUUAGAUUUUUUGAUUUUUAGAUUUUUUGAUUUUUUGAUUUUUUGAUUUUUUGAUUUUUUGAUUUUUUGAUUUUUUGAUUUUUUGAUUUUUUGAUUUUUUGAUUUUUUGAUUUUUAGAUUUUAGAUUUUUUGAUUUUUAGAUUUUUAG